GUUUAACCGAUAGUAUAACUAAAUGUUAUACCCAAGAAGUGUUGAUGCAAUGCAAAUUUAAUUGACCGAAGCCCAGAAGUAAUAACAUAAACGGUACAAAUUUAAUGCACCAGAUGGGCAUGCAUACCAUUAAUGUCUCUGCACAGAUGCUCGAGGCAAACAUUUUGAAAAUUCAAAAUCUCAUAAAAUCGUUUAAAAGCUGAAAGGACCA
rnacentral:lncRNA from 1 species